CUGAAAACGAAGAUUCAUCACCUCUUCUCUAUUCUCAUCAUCAACAAAAUCCAUCAGCAGAAUCAGUUCUUGAGAUUUGUUGUGAAUUGAUGAAGAAUAGUCAAUGAGGAUCACCAACAAUAUUCGAGAGUAAUUUUGUGUUGUCUAAAGCAAUUAGUAAUUGUACCGAAACUCAAGAUUAUAUCUCUUCGUUGGUAUAUGCUGUUAAUUCCAGAAAUUUGUAUAAAUGGGUGUGUAUACUUAUCUCAGCAAUGGAUUUACUUACUUGAGUAAGUAAAAGAAGUUUUACCUCUGGUACUUGGACUUGGGGGACUGAUGCUCAACAGGACAUUGCUGCCGAAGCAGUAAAGAAAGGCGUCGUGCUACUAAGAAGCCUUAAUUUAUGUUAAUCGUUGGUGCUAAUUUGGAGGUGAUCUAGAAGAAAAGAACCGACAACUAAGAAGUCAGAGUGCAGAUUGUGAGGCCGCUAUUCGACAAGGAUGUACAUGAGAUCUUCAAGAUGAGUCUUCAUGAUAAACAAGUCAUGAUGUUUUCAGCCACACUCAGCAAGGAAAUUUGUCCAGUGGGCUGGAAAUUCGUGCAAGAUGUAGUGUCCUGUGGCCAGUACCCCUCAAUUUCUGAAGUUUCCUUUUGAGACCAGUUGUUCGUAGUAAAUUAUAUCGGAAGACAGGAAAGGUCUCGAAUAUCUUUAGCAGUGCACUCUACUUCAUGCAUUGUAUUCUGGGUAGCUUCUCGAAUGGUGCUGAGUGUAAGUUGGUGGUGAUGUGCUUUGUUGUUUCAAGGUCAAUGACUCUGUGGUGCUGUAGCAGAGGCAGGGGGACAUGAUGUUGCCGGCGGUUGUUAGUGGACUCUACUUCAUGAUUAUGCAUUUAUAAAAAAAAAUACUUUUAUCAUGCAAGGAUCAGAUGCUAUUAGUUGCUAGCAAUCCAUUAUAAGGAUUCUUGUAGAGCAGACAGGACAAGUGAGAUGUGUUUUCUAC